rnacentral:rRNA from 1 species
CCUACGGGGGGCUGCAGUGGGGAAUAUUGGACAAUGGGCGAAAGCCUGAUCCAGCCAUGCCGCGUGUGUGAAGAAGGCCUUCGGGUUGUAAAGCACUUUCAGUGGGGAAGAAAGCCUUGGGGCUAAUACCCUCGAGGAAGGACAUCACCCACAGAAGAAGCACCGGCUAACUCCGUGCCAGCAGCCGCGGUAAUACGGAGGGUGCGAGCGUUAAUCGGAAUUACUGGGCGUAAAGCGCGCGUAGGCGGUCUGAUAAGCCGGUUGUGAAAGCCCCGGGCUCAACCUGGGAACGGCAUCCGGAACUGUCAGGCUAGAGUGCAGGAGAGGAAGGUAGAAUUCCCGGUGUAGCGGUGAAAUGCGUAGAGCUCGGGAGGAAUACCAGUGGCGAAGGCGGCCUUCUGGACUGACACUGACGCUGAGGUGCGAAAGCGUGGGUAGCAAACAGGAUUAGAUACCCCUGUAGUC